rnacentral:rRNA from 1 species
CCUACGGGAGGCAGCAGUGAGGAAUAGUGGUCAAUGGGCGGGAGCCUGAACCAGCCAAGUCGCGUGAGGGAAGACGGUCCGAUGGAGUGUAAACCUCUGUAGGCGGGGAGCAAGGCCGGGCACGCGGGCCCGGAGGGAGAGAACCCGCAGAAGAAGCAGCGGCUAACGCCGUGCCAGCAGCCGCGGUAAUACGGAGGAUGCGAGCGUUAUCCGGAUUUAUGGGGUUGAAAGGGUGCGUAGGCGGAUUUUUAAGUCAGCGGUAAAAUGUCCGGGCUCAACCCGGGCCGGCCGUUGAAACUGGGGCUCUUGCGUGUGCGCGACGUAUGCGGCAUGCGUGGUGUAGCGG